CUCAAUGAGCUGUAUCGGCUACAAUGUGAGUGAACUUUGCAAUGGAUAAGCAAAGAUUUAAGGCAAAAUUAAAUAACGAAGAUAACUGAUAACUUGCUAUUGAAUUCUUUUUUCUUUCCCUAUGCCGAUGCCCCCUUUCUCGAGGCAGGAGAAUGGAUUUUAUAAUUGGGGGGAGAGCACCGCCACUCCGAAGUUUGGACUAGCACGCUAGGAAAUUAGGUAGUGGCCAGCGAAAUCCUCGAUAAUUGUAACUGCAUCAGGGUAACGUCGAUAUCCACGAUUUCCUGGCACAGUUAACCAAUUUUCGAGUGCGUACAUUUAUUCUUUGAAUACCCUUUCUUCUAAUAGUCAGAGGUUCCAAAGUAAGGGUCGUCAAACUCGAUAACAGAUUCCAUUCUCCAUAUGUAUUCCUAGGUCUCUCUUGCCACGUGAAAAUGAUAAAUUUUAUCAAUACAGAUAGCCCCCACUUGUUGGGCAAUUUGACGUCGAAUGCUCGAUAAGUGGUAGCCUUUUGGUGGAAGUCAGCCUUAGUUAGUAUCCUUCUCUAGUAUGAAAAGAAUUUUAAUAAGACUUUGUCAUUAAGAUUGACGUGGCCCAUAUUUAAUAUGUUAGAACAUGUGGCUUCCUCUCAUCAACUCCUUCAUCUAUUACAAUCCCCAAGUAAUGAUGGUCAGUUAUGAUAGGAAUCCUUCCCAACUUUGGCGGUUAUGAAAGGGAAUAUUUUUUGCCUAUAUAUACCCAGUUGUUGGCCUCCUUAUUAACUUUAAAUUCCUCAACUAACCUUCUCAUUUGUUUCUCUUCUUGAGUCAUUAACUUACGCCUAACCCUUCUCUUCUGAUCUCCUCUUUUAUUAACCUCAUGGACUCUCAAAGUUUUGACCCUUCUUCAGCAGCUGACUAACCUUCAACGCAUAUAAUUAUAGGCACUCUUCAUCUGUAACAGAACCCUCUUACUUCUGUUCUUCUAUUUCUCUGAGGGCUUUGUCUACUACCACUUUUAAGAAGAAAGCUUCCAAACCUCACAAAGGUAGGAAGGGGAAGCAAAGCUCUAAGCCCUUGGUCCCAGAGGUUCUCCCGAAAAACUUGAAUUAUGAGGGGGAUCGUUGAGGCUUAGAACAAGGUGCAGGAUAAUUUGGGAGUUCUCACGUCGGCAAUAUAGACUCCCUUGUUCAUGAAGAACAUAUUACCAUAAUCUUUCGUGAUUGUUGUUGGAGCGACUAUGUCACCAUUCACGUUCCUCAGGCGAACGAAAGAAUUUUCAGCCACAUGUCUGGCUUCUUUUUUUGUCUACACUUACCCUUUUACCUUUGGAUUUGUACCUCCGAUAGACCCCUUGAUUUGACUUUUAUCUUUAUUUUGGUGUGUGUUUGGGCCAAAUUGGGCCGACCAUAUGGAGGUUUGUGGCGUGCUUCUAGUUCCUGAUGAUUGUUGCUGACGUCCAAUUUUCUCUUUCGCACCUUUUUCAUUUGUUUUCUCCCAAUCCGUUAAGGGGAGAGGGGAUUAUUUCGAUGGUUAGUCGGGGUACCCGGACUCUCAUGGAUUCAGAGGAUGACCACGAUAAGGGUUGGCUCGACCGAUUUAUCGCAUUCCCCACUCAGGAGUUGAUUCUGCUCGAGUAAGAGCCUAUUCCGAAGUGGAAUAACAAACCCAUGUUGGUAGCUCCGGAGAGCAUUCUGGAUAUCAAGGAGUGGGUUGGAAAGUGCUUGGCAAGCUCUUCGAAAACAGAGAGAUCUUGGAGGUAUUCCUCCGAGGAAGGCAGUCCCACAAGUGUUACUAGGCUCCCAACUUCUGUUGACUCUUCCACGGAAAGCGUCAGGCAAUUGUCUACUUUGAAAAGAAGAGCAAACUUGCUAGUUUCCACUCUGGUGGUCCUUCCACCAAAAAGAAUGAGGACAAAUUUUUAUAAGAUCUGACGGUGUCCAAGGAUUUUCUCAAGCUUCCCCUCAAACUGAUAUUCCCCGAGACACCACCCCUAUUGUGUUAGAGAAUAAGGGCUCGGAAUCCCCUGGUUCAAAGCCAGCGAUAGGAGUCGUAAAGGAUCAGGGUUCGGAGUCCCCAGGAUCGGAACCAGUGAGAAGAGAAAUCCCCGACUUGGAUCGGAAAAAAAAGGUUGUUGUAGGCGAUCCUGUUGAAAGAUCUGUUCGCCCACACCCACUGCUUCCUUCUACUCCCCCUGCUAGUUCUUCAAUGAGAUCUAGAAUUCAUCCGGUCUUAAUCAAUGUACCAAUGGAGUUUAAUCCUCCGAACAACUCGGGAGAGAGAAUGUCAUGGCUAAAAGGAUUGAUACGCCCCUUCGAGAGGGAGGAGUUAUCUGCCAAAUCUGAAACCACACUGGCAAAUGAUGUACUUCAUUUCACCCUUCGAGUAAUGUUUUCGAUCUUUUAUCUUUUUGCCCUCUUUGUUUAACUUGUAUGUAAGGUCAAAUUGUUUAUGCGUAGGCAAACUUGAUCUUGAUCUGGAUCGAAGAAAGGUUCUCGUUUAACGAAAGAACCAUAGAAGAGUUGAAGCAGAAAGUCAAGGACUGGGAAACUCGUUGUCCCAAUAUGCUUUUGGAAAAAGAGGCUUACUAACUAUUGGCAUGUUUGGCCAAGGAUGAGUUGAAGGAGUUGAAUAAGGGGAUCGAGAAAUCGGCACCAUGAACAGCAGUAAGGUCGAGCACCUGGAGGCAUCUAGUUUAGAAGGAAGCAGAUGUAAACCAAUUGGUCGUUGCUUUAUCUUAUGAUUUAGUUCAGGCCAAAUUAUGUGCAUCAUACCUUGAGCAAACUCUUGGAUUGGAAGGAUUCAAUCAACGCUUAACAAGCCGAAAUGGUGAGGUUACAAGGGGGGAGAGAUCACAUGGCCCAAUAACUUGAUAGGUUAAAGCUGCAGUCAAAGCUGGGGCAUAAUUUUAUUUUCCUUGAGUCCAAGUUAUCUACUUUGGAGGGCGUUUGUAUAGGGAUCUCCGACUUAGCAAAAUAAGUAUAGGAGACAUGACAGGCCAUGGAGGAAGCUAAACUCAUUUUUAAUAUGGCUACAUUCGAAGGUGGAUUCUCGGGGAAUGAAGAACUUACUAACUCCUCGGAGGAAGGAAACGAUGAAGAACCCCCCGCUCGUGCCCUGGACCUUAGACCCCUUGCAGUGGUUCGUCAACUUCCUGCCCUCCUUCAGACAAGCCCUCAUCUCGAGAUUCGCAGUCCCCGAGCGGGGGUCAUUAAGGGUGUAUUUCUAGUGUCUAGGAGUUUUAAGUAUGUUCGUUGUUUUGCUAGCAUUUUCAUGUUUGCUUCCUUUAUUUUCUUGUGUUUGUUUUGUUUGAGGUCAUACCUCGGUUUGUAAUGAACCUCGUUAAGUAUAUGAAAAGAACUUUGCCUUCCUUA